GCGGUAACAGAUCCAGCUUGCUGGAUGCUGACGAGCGGCGGACGGGUGAGUAAUGCAUAGGAAUCUGCCCGAUAGUGGGGGAUAACCUGGGGAAACCCAGGCUAAUACCGCAUACGUCCUACGGGAGAAAGGGGGCUUCGGCUCCCGCUAUCGGAUGAGCCUAUGUCGGAUUAGCUAGUUGGUGAGGUAACGGCUCACCAAGGCCACGAUCCGUAGCUGGUCUGAGAGGAUGAUCAGCCACAUCGGGACUGAGACACGGCCCGAACUCCUACGGGAGGCAGCAGUGGGGAAUAUUGGACAAUGGGGGGAACCCUGAUCCAGCCAUGCCGCGUGUGUGAAGAAGGCCCUCGGGUUGUAAAGCACUUUCAGCGAGGAAGAACGCCUAGCGGUUAAUACCCGCUAGGAAAGACAUCACUCGCAGAAGAAGCACCGGCUAACUCCGUGCCAGCAGCCGCGGUAAUACGGAGGGUGCAAGCGUUAAUCGGAAUUACUGGGCGUAAAGCGCGCGUAGGUGGCUUGAUAAGCCGGUUGUGAAAGCCCCGGGCUCAACCUGGGAACGGCAUCCGGAACUGUCAAGCUAGAGUGCAGGAGAGGAAGGUAGAAUUCCCGGUGUAGCGGUGAAAUGCGUAGAGAUCGGGAGGAAUACCAGUGGCGAAGGCGGCCUUCUGGACUGACACUGACACUGAGGUGCGAAAGCGUGGGUAGCAAACAGGAUUAGAUACCCUGGUAGUCCACGCCGUAAACGAUGUCGACCAGCCGUUGGGUGCCUAGCGCACUUUGUGGCGAAGUUAACGCGAUAA
rnacentral:rRNA from 1 species